UGCACUUUACGUUAUUCAUUUAUACUUUUAACCUGCUCUACAAGUUGUUAAAAUAGAAAAUACACAAUAUACAUAAAAAUGUUGACACAAACAUGGUGUCUUAACAGAAAUUGCAGAGGUAAAAAUUACCUGUCUCCAUGACUGUCACCUCUAGAGGGCAAUCGGUGAGCCUGUGAGCCCUUCCGUGUCACUCAUUGUAUGACGCAACUUCCUGUAGUGUGGAAGAAGAGAAACUCCCCUUCCGGUUUUGUCGGUCCAUGCGUGGCAAUGCGAACACACGCGGAGAACCUGUCGAUCAAUCCUUGGCCAUCCACUCGAGCAGUGUGACAUCCGAGUGUAAUAUUCACUGACUGACAUCCUGUGCAGUCAUUUCACUUGAUCAGCGGUCAGGUUUUUUGAUUGGGUGAUUCAAAUACCAUCUUAAUUCCCUGGAGCACCUUGUGUGGAGAGGACGACAUCGCCCUUCCAGCCCAGGUGGAUGAGAGGCUCCGCAGUCUCUCCAACUCCAACACCCAUUCCCGAGAUCCAUCGAUCCGAUUCCCAGUGCAUACUGGGUGGCGAGCUACCUUAGAAUCUGGACACUGUGGUGCAGUGUUGACGUUCCCUCCCCCACGGUCUGUGCGGUAGGACAAUACUUAUACAGUGCACUGUUAGCUACAGAGAAACGGGCCCCAACGAACUAUUUAAACAAACUUUGGGAACUUUGAAAAAAGGGUUUCUAUUCUGCCGGCUUUUCUUAUUCUUGUUCAUUGUUUUUCAUAUACUGCAGUUGUUGUAAAUUUCUAUGUGCACUUUUCAAUAUAUGUAUGGCCAUUCAACAUUCAAGUUCAUCGUUGUGUGUCAUUAUUGAUAUGCAACACUGGCUCUUAAAAACACUAGGAUUCUUCUGAUACUAGUCCAGUUCGAUAUUUACACCAUUGACUACUACUCACCUGUUUCCUCUAUUACUAGUUCGUAACUAGGGUUACACAUGCAUUUUAAGACAUGCAAGUUGAUUUGCAUAUGAAAGGAAAUUGUUAAAUGACUGCACAUAGUUUUUAAUGAUAUACGCAACCAAGAACCCGCUCAGCUUGUCCUCAAAGAUGCAAAGGGGAAAGAGAAGAAAUUACAUCCAAAACCAAAACAUAAUUACAACUUUCUUCAUUGUUUUUUAAUCUCCACUUGGAGAAAACCCUUCAUAUUGUUUCAAGAUAACUAUUUUUUGAUAGCAUUCCAGUGAUGCAUGAAUAGCUAAACAAAUAUGAAGUUGGGGUAGUUUUGAUUCCCUAACCUCUAGCAUAUGGCAAAAUGGAAAUCCUGCAGUGUCUUCCUUCAACAGAGUAGAUAACACUUGAUAAAUGACAUCGCUGUUACUAAAACACCACCUUGUUUUUUUAAACACCUUGUUAAAAUGCUGCAAGCAUCUUUGAUGUGUCUUGGACUAAAAGUAAUUUGCCUCCUAAAAUAAACAGUCUUCUAAACAAAAAGGUUAACAUCUUCAAUUGUGUCUCAUUGUACGAUUAAAAAAGUGCAUAUAAAAGAUGCUUGGCAACUACGUCAGCAUCUUAUGCAUUAUUGUAUACUAAUCAACAAAUGUAGCUAUAUUAAGUAACAACACUUGUGUUAUACCUGCACUACAAGCCUGCCAUGCCAAAUAGUUUGUUGCACAAGGAUCUUCUAGAGUAAAAUACAUC